UACGGAGGGUGCAAGCGUUAUCCGGAUUCACUGGGUUUAAAGGGUGUGUAGGCGGGUUAUUAAGUCAGUGGUGAAAUCUCCGGGCUCAACCCGGAAACUGCCAUUGAUACUAUUAGCCUUGAAUUCUGUUGAGGUGGGCGGAAUAUGUCAUGUAGCGGUGAAAUGCAUAGAUAUGACAUAGAACACCAAUUGCGAAGGCAGCUCACUAAACAGCGAUUGACGCUGAGGCACGAAAGCGUGGGGAGCGAACGGGG
rnacentral:rRNA from 1 species